CGCUGGCGGCGUGCCUAAUACAUGCAAGUCGAACGGUCUUUCUAUGGAAGCUUGCUUCCACUGAGAAGAUAGUGGCGAACGGGUGAGUAACACGUGGGGUAACCUGCCCAUAAGAGGGGGGAUAACAUCCGGAAACGGGUGCUAAUACCGCAUAGUUUUCUUGAUCGCAUGAUCGGGAAAGGAAAGACGGCCUUUGUGCUGUCGCUUAUGGAUGGACCCGCGGCGUAUUAGUUAGUUGGUGAGGUAACGGCUCACCAAGACGAUGAUACGUAGCCGACCUGAGAGGGUGAUCGGCCACAUUGGGACUGAGACACGGCCCAAACUCCUACGGGAGGCAGCAGUAGGGAAUCUUCCGCAAUGGACGAAAGUCUGACGGAGCAACGCCGCGUGAGUGAAGAAAAGGUUUUCGGAUCGUAAAACUCUGUUGUCAGAGAAGAACAAGUUGGAGAGUAACUGCUCCAGCCUUGACGGUAUCUGACCAGAAAGCCACGGCUAACUACGUGCCAGCAGCCGC
rnacentral:rRNA from 1 species